CANUGGAGGAACUCUGAUGCAGCGACGCCNCGCUGAGUGAAGAAGUAAUUCNUUAUGUAAAGCUCUAUCAGCAGGGGAAGAUAGUGACGGUACCUGACUAAGAAGCUCCGGCUAAAUACGUGCCAGCAGCCGCGGUAAUACGUAUGGAGCAAGCGUUAUCCGGAUUUACUGGGUGUAAAGGGAGUGUAGGUGGCCAUGCAAGUCAGAAGUGAAAAUCCGGGGCUCAACCCCGGAACUGCUUUUGAAACUGUAAGGCUAGAGUGCAGGAGGGGUGAGUGGAAUUCCUAGUGUAGCGGUGAAAUGCGUAGAUAUUAGGAGGAACACCAGUGGCGAAGGCGGCUCACUGGACUGUAACUGACACUGAGGCUCGAAAGCGUGGGGAGCAAACAGGAUUAGAUCCCUGGUAGUCCAAGGGCGAAUUC
rnacentral:rRNA from 1 species